UACGUAGGGUGCGAGCGUUUAAUCGGAAUUACUGGGCGUAAAGCGUGCGCAGGCGGUUUUGUAAGCCAGAUGUGAAAUCCCCGGGCUUAACCUGGGAAUGGCAUUUGGGACUGCAAGGCUGGAGUGUGGCAGAGGAGACUAGAAUUCCUGGUGUAGCAGUGAAAUGCGUAGAUAUCAGGAGGAAUACCGAUGGCGAAGGCAGGUCUCUGGGCUGACACUGACGCUCAUGCACGAAAGCGUGGGAGC
rnacentral:rRNA from 1 species